CAGGAUAUAUUUUAAUUAAAAUACUAAUUUUGGAAAUUAGAGAUAAUAUUCAUAUUUAUACUGA
rnacentral:tRNA from 1 species